CACCACUGCAGGCUUCCUUACAUGUUUGGUGCUGGGAAUUUCUAGGGAGCACUUGCUUUAUACUUCUUGAACUAGUCCUUUUACAGCAUAAGAUGUCUUCAUUUUUCUCUCUGCGGAUGGUAUUUCCCAUGAAUGUGUAUCUUGCAAAUGGUUACAAAAAUGAGAAUUCUCAUGGCCUCAUCAUAUCCCCCCAUGUCUGAUGUCUAACAUACUGCUAUAUUCACAGGAGCACCGAUUCAGGGGCCACCUCACCUCUUGAACUGCGCCUCCACCCCAGAGUUGAUGUCAACAAAUACUGACACUGAGAUUCUUCGCGUCCUUGGAAAGAAAGUGGACUUUAGAAAACUUGGGCUUGACUGGAAAACCAAGGGCCAAGCGCACAUAAAAUGAAGGCAGCCACUGCUGAUGUGACGUUCUCCUGCACUGUCUGAGGACAUGUCUCGAGGCACCAGCAACUCCAACAGCCCUUCCAACUGGGUCACAGGUGACAAAGUGAAAGGCUCCGCCUCUGUGCAGAUUAUCCCACACAGAGCUGUUGGAAUUACUCCACGAUGAUUUCAAAGAAAAUUUUCCUUUCUAAACAUUCUUAUCCCAGGGAAACCGCUCACCAAGGAAAUCCAAACGCAGAAAAGAAGCAGACUGGGCCCAAGGCUCCCAGAGGAAUAACAAAACGAGGAGCGAGCAUGACUGCAGCAAUGGUCCUUUCAAGCAGCAGCUAACUUGGUGGAACACCCUGUCCCUUGGGUGCGAGCAGACCGCCCCUUGGCUCAAAGUCAUCCUGCUGUCCCGGCUGCUGGUUCUCCAGGCCAACAAAGACCAGCAUGACAAAACACAUCGAGAAAGUGUCACAGAAUGCUCUUCUGCAGGAGCCUUGCUUCUAGAAGUGGAGUGGAUCUGCAGUCCAUAUAAAAGCUUGGGCAAAGUUUUACAAGGUGCAACCAUGUACUAG
rnacentral:lncRNA from 1 species